UACGUAGGGGGCUAGCGUUGUUCGGAAUUACUGGGCGUAAAGGGCACGCAGGCGGAUUUAUAAGUCAGGGGUGAAAUCCCGGGGCUCAACCUCGGAAUUGCCUUUGAUACUGUCUAUCUUGAGUCCGGGAGAGGUGAGUGGAAUUCCUAGUGUAGAGGUGAAAUACGUAGAUAUUAGGAAGAACACCAGUGGCGAAGGCGGCUCCCUGGCCCGGUACUGACACUCAUGUGAGAAAGCGUGGGGAGCAAACAGG
rnacentral:rRNA from 1 species